UUCUCUCAUUUUUACAUUUUGACCAUAUUUGGUUUACAGCAAGGUGAGAAAUCAUAUCUGAAAUACAAUGUGACAGCAAAUUCAGCCAGUCAUUUUGAUUAUAAAUUGAAUAUUCUGGUUUAAUAUUUUUGUAGUUUUUGACAUCAUGUCUCAGUAGUAAUAAUAAUAAUUAAUAAUAACUAUUUGUAUAGCACUCUUCAAAAGCAGAGUUAUAAAGUGAUGCACAUACAUAAAACAGAGCAAACCAAAUGAAAGACAUGGAGAAGGAAAAGCGACAGUGUCAGUGAGCAACGCAAGUAUCACGGGGGCAAUUGUAGAUAUGAAUAUAGAAACAAUCAAAUGAAUAAAACUAACAAAAAGUAAAAACCAAAAUGAAAGCAUUGGAAUCAAGAAUUAAAAGCAGCUUUAUAAAACUGUGUUCUGAGGAGUGAUUUAAAAAGGGGCACGUCUGAUCUCCUCAGGCAGGGCAUUCCAAAGCCUGGGGGCUCUAAUAUAACAUCGUACUCUAUAAUUACAUUGUACUCACCAAGCUGAAAUCAUUGUAGUCACCAUCGUCUGACUAUUCACUGUAGUAGUAACAUCACCAUGUUUUCAGGUCUCAGCAAUUACUUUGGUGAGGACAUUUGUCAUAACUGAUAAAAACAGUUGCCAAAACUACAAAAUAAGAAUACAGUAGCUUACCAAAACUAACACUGCUAACUAAGCUAAAAAAAAAAAGGUUCAAAUUAAACUGAUGAUGAGGGGAACACCUUGCACUUUACGGGUCCAUACGUUAGUUAACUGCUAAUGUUAGCAAACGCUAGUGCUAAAUAAUUUGGUAACGCUUUACAGGGCCAUUAUUUUCAAUUUACUUGAAGUUUUCUGGAAAAAACUAUGUAAUUGGUAUUUUAUGUAAGGACUUGUUAUUUUAGUAAAAACUAGUUGGGUUAGGUUAAUAAGCAGCUGAUUGCCAGAAGAAUUUCCUUUUAAAACAACUGCUUCAUUAAAUCCAAGCAAAUAUUCAUUCAUUAUUCAUUUUUUAUCCAGAACUUAGUUUUUGCGGCAUAGCAGUUAAUUGGAAGCAACUGUAACUAACUAUAAUGAAUUGGAACAUUAUUUCCAUUUUAAUUAGCAUGAAAAAUGACAUAGUUCUUUCUAUAUAGUUUUUCCAGGACACCACAGACGACCCAAAAUAUAUUUUACCAAUACUAACCUCAUAGAUAAGAAUAGACCAUGUGUAAAAAGUGCUAACGUGUUUCAGUCAUUUUCAGAACAUGUCAAAUUUUUUUAUAUAUAAAACAUAGAAAUAAUUAAUUUAUCAUUUUUGGUGAUUCUGUCAUAUAUAUUUAUGGAAUUAAAGAGUGUAUAAUAUAAUACAUGUAGUCUCCUAACAGUGAUCUUUAGAUCCAGUACUAGUUGACUUUGAGCCAGCAUUAUUUAAAUUGACCAUUCCUGGUUUUAUAGCAAUGGUCUGACGCAUAUUAAAGUAACUAAAUAUUGGACUAAAGGCAACUUUGAAGCAGUAAAGAGGGUAAAAAAAAAAAGAGACAUCUGCAUGUCGACCAGAAAAUGCAUCAAGAGUUGAAGUGAAGAUUAUCAGUGUUCAUCAACAGAAAACUAUUGUGGAAUGCUGGGAAAAAACAUGGAUGUACAAAUAAAGUAUUGUUGGUGAGUGUGGGAGUGUGCGUUUCUGUGAGAAUAUGCAGGUAUGAGUUAGUAUGUGUGUCUAUAUAUGUACGUGUGUGUGUGUGUGUGUGUGUCACAUAAACAUAUCAAGUUACAGUGAACUGUGGAAAAAGACCAGAAAUGCACACACAAAGUACAAAUCUACUAAGUAUGUUAGUUUCCUGUUGAGUAUCAACACUGAGAGUCAAUUGCAACAGCUCUGUCUCUACUCAGUUCAUGUUCACUUUCAGUUCAAACCAUCGACGCAAAGAUCUGCAGCUUGUCCACACGGCUGGUGUAGACGAGGUGGAGACGAGGUGUAGGCUCAGCACCGGGCUUGUCUAACGGCUGUCACCCUUUGUCUUUAGGAGGGAACCAGACACACAUUGAGUGCUCUUUGUAAUCUACUGAUGACAUUAACAAUGGAAAUAAUUGUAUUAGCAUAUGUGUGAUUUUAAUUAGCAAAAAUCAAUGUACUGUACAUAUUCAUUCAAAUAAUUAUUCAGAAAUCUUCCAUGGACCCCCUGCAAGACUGAAAUAGACAACUAGGGGUACACAGACCCCAAACUGAGACUCAAUCCUUUAGAUUGUUUUGAUAGAGGGGCAAUACCGAAGAUAAAAAAAAUAAAUAAAAAUGGAAAUAAAAUUGUAUUUAUUUAUUUAAAAAUUUAACCUGGAACAAGGCAGUCACGAGAUGCAGGAGGAAAAAGUUCUUUGUGUGAAUGGGUGGGAAGCCAUUGAGGGAGCAUGUACUUGUCGUUGCAGUAAAGUUGGAAAGCGGGAGGGGCCGAAGCGUUCUUCUUCAUUCUGUAUUUCCAUUUAAAUGUUUUCUUUCAGCAAAAUCCUCAAUGUUGCUUAACACAGAAACACAGGACUCUCCUGGAUAAUGUAACAAUCAUAUACUGUAUUACAUUAUGGCCACCAAUUUCCAUUAUUUCAACUUUGAUAAAUCAUGAUUUCGUGUCAUUUUGGCAUGGCGGGCAGCUCUAAAUACUGCAAUACUCAUGACCCUCAGCCGCCGCUGAGAACCGUGAAUCAGAGCGGUAGUGAAUUCAAAACGCUUUGCUGUUGCAGUUGUUAACAAAACACGGCGCCAUAGUUGCUGAUUUCAACCAAGGUUGACCCCAAAGUUAAAAGUGAACUGAUUUAAACUGCAGAUUAUAAAAUCAGUUUUGUCAACAGCGUAAUCUUUAGCUUCCACCCGCUGUUGGCGGCGCACAUGUCAGAAUUUUAAGCGCGGCGUUUGAAUGUUUCUUGCUGAAAUGCACUUUGGGAGUUGUCGUUAACUUCUCCCCAUAACUUUUAUGUACACAAACUUGUACCUUCUACUAUUUUUUUUCAAAGAAUCAGAUAUUUUCUAAGGCUGUUGUUAAUCUUUUGAACUGAAGAUUGAACCAGGAAAGUUUCAUGUCGAUCAAAGCCGCAGAAAAGCUCCAGCUGUGAGACGCGUAACAUUGUCUACGGGAAAAAGUAAUCACCCAAAAUAGCUCCCCUCACUUAGCAACUCUGUAGCAACGGCAGCUCGACUGUGGAUUUGAUAUUUUUUCAUGGAGUUGACAAAGAGUAAAAUGUACAUGACAACGUUUAUCAGUCUGUCAGGUUCUAUUCUUUAAGGAUUUGGCCGGAUGGCGAAGAUUUGGAGAACGUUUAUCACUUGCUCUCUGUCAUUGUGUUCUUCUUACAUUAAGACCGUGGUGAGUCAGUUUUGAUUCCUUAUGAAGUUAUUUCUCAUUUUUCUGUUUUAGGUUUUGCUUUCCUAAUGGGGAGAUGUGUACAGAUUGUGUGUGUGUGUGUGUGUGUGUGAUGGUUGGCUAAUUAAUGUUUGAUGAGAGCUACAUCACCACUGUUUAUGUCUUCAUAUUUACAUAGUGGUUACAGUAUGUGAAGAGCUGCAGGGGCUUAUUGCUGUUUGGGUGAACCUCAAACCUCCAGCACACACAGUCAAGCUCUGCAGCCUCCUGUAGCCAAUCAGGAGCACGCGUCCGCGAGUGGGCAACAGACAGUGGUGAGGUCAAAGGUGAGAGGUCACAGAGGCAGAGGUCAGCAGCAGCAGUGCCCAGGUAGGCCACCCUGGUGUGUGUGUGUGUGUGUGUGUGUGUGUGUGUGUGUGUGUGUGUGUGUGUGUGUGUGCGUGCGCGCGUGGAGAUACUUGUAUUACUAUACUUAUUAGGACAACUUUGACUUCUAGGUUUAAAACUUGUGGAUCUUUAGAGAAGACGGAGAACAUUUUAUCUUCUUUGGUCCUUCCUGACCA